CCUACGGGGGGCAGCAGUGGGGAAUAUUGGACAAUGGGGGGAACCCUGAUCCAGCCAUGCCGCGUGUGUGAAGAAGGCCUUUUGGUUGUAAAGCACUUUAAGCGAGGAGGAGGCUCUCUUGGUUAAUACCUGAGAAGAGUGGACGUUACUCGCAGAAUAAGCACCGGCUAACUCUGUGCCAGCAGCCGCGGUAAUACAGAGGGUGCGAGCGUUAAUCGGAUUUACUGGGCGUAAAGCGCGCGUAGGUGGUUAAUUAAGUCAAAUGUGAAAUCCCCGAGCUUAACUUGGGAAUUGCAUUCG
rnacentral:rRNA from 1 species